rnacentral:rRNA from 1 species
AUACGAAGGGGGCUAGCGUUGUUCGGAAUUACUGGGCGUAAAGCGCGCGUAGGCGGACUGAUCAGUUGGGGGUGAAAUCCCAGGGCCUAACCCUGGAACUGCCUCCAAUACUGUCAGUCUUGAGUUCGGGAGAGGUGAGUGGAAUUCCUAGUGUAGAGGUGAAAUUCGUAGAUAUUAGGAAGAACACCAGUGGCGAAGGCGGCUCACUGGCCCGAUACUGACGCUGAGGCGCGAAAGCGUGGGGAGCAAACAGGAUUAGAAACCCCAGUAGUCC